rnacentral:lncRNA from 1 species
CGGGAACCCCGAACAUCCCCUUUCUCUACUCUUUCCCUUUGGAGUCUAUAGAGGGAGAAGCAGAGCCUAAGGCUUCAUCAGUUUGAAUACUGGCUGGGGCUGGGCAAGUUAGUGGCUCAAAGUGUUGAAUCUGUCCCUAAAGCAGGGACAGAAAUGGAGGCUCAGGAGGUAGAGGUGGCAGUGGGCGUGCAGGAGAAGCUGUAGGUCAGGAGGUAGAGGUGGCAGUGGGCGUGCAGGAGAACUGUAGGUCAGAGUGGAGAGGUGGCAGUGGGCGUGCAGGAGAAGGUGUAGGUCGGGGGGUAGAGGUGGCAGUGGGCGUGCAGGAGAAGGUGUAGGUCAGGAGGCAGAGGUGGCAGUGGGCGUGCAGGAGAAGCUGUAGGUCGGGAGGUAGAGGUGGCAGUGGGCGUGCAGGAG